GUUUUUAGAGCAGGAGACAUGAGGUUGCUAAACCCAUUCAUUUCUCACAUGCACUCAUGUUUCUAAUGUCUGUGGAGAUCCGGCUUUAAAAGUCCUCUGCGAGCUAUUGGAAUGAAGAGCACUUCAUGAAGACAUUGUAAUUAUUAUGGGAUUCAGGGGUGUGUGGAAAUGAUUCAUGGAGAUGUUUCCCAGCCAGCAGGCUCAUGGAGCCAGGUGAGCUCUUCCCUGGAAUGUGAAGCAUGCAGCGUGGCAACUGGGAGAAACAGGUUUGGCCGGACAUUUUAAGUUGUUCGCAGCAGACAGCCUCUUCAGAGCCACAUCCCUGCUUUGCUGAUCUCCCAGCUGGAUGCUCCGCUCUGCCACACUGGCCCUGCUGAGCUGGAGAGGAUGGACACGCUGCGCAGGAGCCUUUCUCGAUGGAAGAGGUACCACAUUAAGGUGCACCUGGCUGACGAGGACCUGAUGAUGCCCCUGACGGUCAGGCCCAGGGACACAGUGAUGGACCUACGGGCUCUCUUGGUACGGGAGGGCAUCACUUCCUGGAAGAAGACAUUUUAUUACAACUCCAGGCAGCUCGAGGAGCACGAGACUCUCAAAGAAGCCAAUAUCCAGAACGGUUCUGUCCUCCUUCUUGUCAGCAAUAAAAGAUAAUGUCAAAGAGCACAGCCAAAGCCAUGAGAGAUGCGGAGUGUGACAAGGGCUGAAGGGAAGCAGAUGGAAGAGAGCUUGCCCAUGGAAAGGCAGCCUGGCCACCGGUGUUGCGCAGUUGCUGCCUCUCUUCAGAGCAGGAAGAGCUGGUUUGGUUGCUGUCCUUCAAAUGAUGCAUCUUAUCACAUGGGAAAAAGUAGGAUAAAACCCACAAACCACCUAGAAAGAGCCACAGGACCAGCAUUAAAGAGGUGUGGACAAGAGCAAGGACCAGCAUUGGAAGGUGUAUUAGGUCCUGAGUGUAUUGCAAGAUGGAGAAGUUUGCAACUCCACAAUGCUGCUCUGUGGAUGGGGCUGCUUCUUGUUGGGACUGUUACCUUUGGGAUCCUGCUAUUGACGGAGCAUCGCAGACGGGAUUAUCCAAAGCACUGCUGUUUACCUCCACCUUGGAGCUGCAGCCAGGCCUUUCCAGUAGCUCCUUCUCUUGAGCUUCACGAGCAGAAGACAAGCCUGGGCAGGUCAUCUCCACCAGCUGCUGUGUUCUAGUCAGGCAGCUCAGGCUGGG
rnacentral:lncRNA from 1 species